rnacentral:misc_RNA from 1 species
AACCUUAUGGACCUGCGGGCGUAUACCUGCGGAGGGAUCAUUACCGAGUGAGGGCCCUCCGGGUCCAACCUCCCACCCGUGUUUAACGAACCUUGUUGCUUCGGCGGGCCCGCCUCACGGCCGCCGGGGGGCACCCCGCCCCCGGGCCCGCGCCCGCCGAAGACACCUGUGAACGCUGUCUGAAGUUGCAGUCUGAGACACUAGCUCAAUCAGUUAAAACUUUCAACAACGGAUCUCAGA